AUCAUCAAGAACAUGAAAUUGAAGCCCUUAUUUUGCAUCUUCAACCUCUGUUAUCUGCAGAGCUGCUCCAAAGCAAUACAUCCAAGGAAUCUAGAGUUCAGAUUCUGGAGAAAACAUGCAAUCACAUUAAGAGAUUACAUGGAGAGAUUGAUGAACUGAGUAAGAGAAUUAGUGAGCUAAUGACUUCUUCUUCAGAUACUAUACCAAGAAA
rnacentral:misc_RNA from 1 species